AUGAGUUAGGACUUGCUUUCUGAGAGGUGUUGAGAUGUAUCACAACAGCAAAACCUAGAUGGUCCUGGGUGGUAUAAAUAGAGGAAAUAUUUCAGAAAAACGAGAGGAUCGAAUGGAAGAGAGAGAGAGAGAGAGAGAAAAGAUGAAAUUCUAUGAUAAAAAGGUGGGAUGGGAAGUGGCCAUGGCAGGCAGGAAAUGCUGGGUCCGGGGUCCGGGAAAA